GAUGAACGCUGGCGGCGUGCCUAAUACAUGCAAGUCGAGCGAACAGAUGAGGAGCUUGCUCCUCUGACGUUAGCGGCGAACGGGUGAGUAACACGUGGAUAACCUACCUAUAAGACUGGGAUAACUUCGGGAAACCGGAGCUAAUACCGGAUAAUAUAUUGAACCGCAUGGUUCAAUAGUGAAAGACGGUUUUGCUGUCUCUUAUAGAUGGAUCCGCGCCGCAUUAGCUAGUUGGUAAGGUAACGGCUUACCAAGGCCACGAUGCGUAGCCGACCUGAGAGGGUGAUCGGCCACACUGGAACUGAGACACGGUCCAGACUCCUACGGGAGGCAGCCGUAGGGAAUCUUCCGCAAUGGGCGAAAGCCUGACGGAGCAACGCCGCGUGAGUGAUGAAGGUCUUCGGAUCGUAAAACUCUGUUAUUAGGGAAGAACAAAUGUGUAAGUAACUAUGCACGUCUUGACGGUACCUAAUCAGAAAGCCACGGCUAACUACGUG
rnacentral:rRNA from 1 species